UACGGAGGGGGCUAGCGUUAUUCGGAAUUACUGGGCGUAAAGGGCUCGUAGGUGGCCAACUAAGUCAGACGUGAAAUCCCUCGGCUUAACCGGGGAACUGCGUCUGAUACUGGAUGGCUUGAGUUUGGGAGAGGGACGCGGAAUUCCAGGUGUAGCGGUGAAAUGCGUAGAUAUCUGGAGGAACACCGGUGGCGAAGGCGGCGUCCUGGACCAAUACUGACACUGAGGAGCGAAAGCCAGGGGAGCAAACGGG
rnacentral:rRNA from 1 species